rnacentral:rRNA from 1 species
GAUGAACGCUGGCGGCGUGCCUAAUACAUGCAAGUCGAGCGAACGGACGAGAAGCUUGCUUCUCUGAUGUUAGCGGCGGACGGGUGAGUAACACGUGGAUAACCUACCUAUAAGACUUGGAUAACUUCGUGAAACCGGAGCUAAUACCGGAUGAUAUUUUGAACCGCAUGGUUCAAAAGUGAAAGACGGUCUUGCUGUCACUUAUAGAUGGAUCCGCGCUGCAUUAACUAGUUGGUAAGGUAACGGCUUACCAAAGCAACGAUGCAUAGCCGACCUGAGAGUGUAAUCGCCCACACUCGAUCAGAGACAAGGUCCAGACUCCGACGGUAAGCAGCAGUAGGGAAACUUACGCUAUGGGCGAAAGCCUGACGGAGAAGCACCACGUGAGUGAUGAAGGUCUUCGUAUCGUAAAACUCUGUUAUUAGAGAAGAACAUAUGUGUAAGUAACUGUGCACAUCUUGACGGUACCUAAUCAGAAAGCCACGGCUAACUACGUG